UCGGAGGGAUCAUUGCUGGAACGCGCCCCAGGCGCACCCAGAAACCCUUUGUGAACUUAUACCUUACUGUUGCCUCGGCGCAUGCUGGCCCCCUCGGGGCCCCCUGGAGACAGGGAGCAGGCACGCCGGCGGCCAAGUUAACUCUUGUUUUUACACUGAAACUCUGAGAAAAAAACACAAAUGAAUCAAAACUUUCAACAACGGAUCUCUUGGUUCUGGCAUCGAUGAAGAACGCAGCGAAAUGCGAUAAGUAAUGUGAAUUGCAGAAUUCAGUGAAUCAUCGAAUCUUUGAACGCACAUUGCGCCCUCUGGUAUUCCGGAGGGCAUGCCUGUUCGAGCGUCAUUUCAACCCUCAAGCACUGCUUGGUGUUGGGGCACUGCUUUUCUCGCGAGAAGCAGGCCCUGAAAUCUAGUGGCGAGCUCGCCAGGACCCCGAGCGCAGUAGUUAAACCCUCGCUCUGGAAGGCCCUGGCGGUGCCCUGCCGUUAAAACCCCAACUUCUGAAAAUUUGACCUCGGAUCAGGUAGGAAUACCCGCUGAACUUAAGCAU
rnacentral:rRNA from 1 species